rnacentral:rRNA from 1 species
AGCGAACGCUGGCGGCAGGCCUAACACAUGCAAGUCGAACGAACUCUUCGGAGUUAGUGGCGGACGGGUGAGUAACCCGUGGGAACGUGCCUUUUGGUUCGGCAUAACUCAGGGACACUUGUGCUAAUACCGAAUGUGCCCUUCGGGGGAAAGAUUUAUCGCCAUUAGAGCGGCCCGCGUCUGAUUAGCUAGUUGGUGAGGUAACGGCUCACCAAGGCGACGAUCAGUAGCUGGUCUGAGAGGAUGACCAGCCACACUGGGACUAAGACACGGCCCAGACUCCUACGGGAGGCAGCAGUGGGGAAUCUUGCGCAAUGGGCGAAAGCCUGACGCAGCCAUGCCGCGUGAAUGAUGAAGGUCGUAGGAUUGUAAAAUUCUUUCACCGGGGACGAUAAUGACGGUACCCGGAGAAGAAGCCCCGGCUAACUUCGUG